GACGAACGCUGGCGGCGUGCUUAACACAUGCAAGUCAAGGGGGCCCAGCAAUGGGCAACCGGCGAACGGGUGCGUAACACGUGAGCAACCUACCGAUGUGUGGGGGAUAGCUGGCCUAACGGCCAGGUAAUACCGCAUAUGAUUGCUGGCCCGCAUGGAGCGGCAAUCAAAGUCUUCGGACGCAGAUCGAGGGGCUCGCGGCCUAUCAGCUAGUUGGCGAGGUCACGGCUCACCAAGGCAACGACGGGUAGCUGGUCUGAGAGGGAUGGCCAGCCACAUUGGGACUGAGAAACGGCCCAGACUCCUACGGGAGGCAGCAGUGGGGAAUCUUGCGCAAUGGACGAAAGUCUGACGCAGCGACGCCGCGUGGGGGA
rnacentral:rRNA from 1 species